CCAGAUGGUACCACACUUAGAAGUCCUUUAAUCUAAAUGUACAAAUUUUAGUUGAUGCCUACUCUCAGUAAAUUAUUGUGUCCUAAAUGUUAUGCAGCCAUCUGCCACCAGAUGGCGCAUCGUUGUUGAGACGCACCAUAAAUCCGUGAAUCUGGAACUUAUCUUUUGUUAACAAUGUUAGAAUAAGAUCGCCGAUACAGUCCAAAAAGUGGACGGGCUCUCCCUCAGCAUAGGGAGAGGAGCUCAGUCAUUCUGGAGGGGUUGAGAGCGGAGUCGCUCCACAUCGAGAGGAGCCGGCUAUAGGAGAAGCUGUCACCUCCUGUGUAAGGAGUUCCGACCAGGCAUGUCCUACCGAGGAGGCCCCGGUGUAGACCCGAGACAUGUUGGAGAUGAUGUGUCCUCACCGACAUGUAGUCAAACCAGUUCGUGAAGCAUGUCACCCAGCGCUGCGUGGGACUGCAACAUAAACCCCGACAGUGUGAAAUGAAACUAUCAGUACAGAGAUGGGUGCAGACAGCCGCUCUUCGUGUCUCCUAACUCAAAACACUCUACAAACUUUCAUACAUUUAUUUCGUCUCAAGUUCGUUCACACUAGCCCGACUACAACGCUCAUAACAAGGCGGCUAACAAGCUAGCUGGUUGCUAUUAUUUUUGUUCUUUUAUAGAGAGAAGACUUCAGCAAAGCUCUCGGCCAGAAACCCGCUUUGACGCAGACGA